ACGAACGCUGGCGGCGUGCUUAACCCAUGCAAGUCGAACGGGUCUGCCCUGUUUUUUGCGGGGUGGGUCAGUGGCGAACGGGUGAGUAACACGUGAGUAACCUGCCCCUCACUUCUGGAUAACCGCUUGAAAGGGUGGCUAAUACGGGGUGUUCUGGCUGUGCCGCAUGGUGUGGCUGGGAAAGAUUCACUUUUGUGGUGUUUUGGUGGGGGAUGGGCUCGCGGCCUAUCAGCUUGUUGGUGGGGUGAUGGCCUGCCAAGGCUUUGACGGGUAGCCGGCCUGAGAGGGUGGGCGGUCACACUGGGACUGAGAUACGGCCGAGACUCCUGCGGGAGGCAGCAGUGGGGGGUAUUGCACAAUGGGCGGAAGCCUGAUGCAGCGACGUCGCGUGAGGGAUGGAGGCCUUCGGGUUGUGAACCUCUUUCGCCGGUGAAGAAGGUCCUGCUCUUUGUGGUGGGGUUGACGGUAGCCGGGUUAUGAAGCGCCGGCUAACUACGUG
rnacentral:rRNA from 1 species